CAGAGGGUAGUUAAAUUUUAGAAUCUUAGCUUUGGGAGUUAAGGGUGAGAGUUAAAAUCUCUUUCCUCUGA
rnacentral:tRNA from 1 species